CGCUUUAUAAAUAAUAAUAUAGGGAAGCUGAAAAAAAUUACUUAUUUGCAGACAUUUACCAAUUUUACUAUUUUUAGCUGAAAUCUAAGUCCCCUUAUUAGUUCUACACAAUGUUUAGCGAAUAAGUCGUUUUCACAUCAGUUUGAAACAAACCCUUAAAACAAUAUCUCAUUGAUUUGUCAAUCACUUAUUUUAUGAAAAACUGAACAAGUUUUAAAACAAAGGCAAAAGUCUCAAUAAUGCAUUGCAGAUAGACAGAACCUUUGGUUUAUUUACUUAUAAG